UGAUCCUGCCAGUAGUCAUAUGCUUGUCUCAAAGAUUAAGCCAUGCAUGUCUCAGUACAAACCGAAAUAAGGUGAAACCGCGAAAGGCUCAUUAUAUCAGUUAUGGUUCAUUAGAUCGUACCAACAUUUACUUGGAUAACUGUGGUAAUUCUAGAGCUAAUACGCGCAAACAGAACUCCGACCGGAGACGGAAGGAGCGCUUUUAUUAGAUCAAAACCAACGCGGGCGGCGCGCGCCGGCGGCCUCGCGUCGUCGCGCCGCGCCGUCUCACACAUAGCUCGCGAGACGAAUCUGAAUAACUUUACGCCGAUCGCACGGCCUCGCGCCGGCGACGCAUCUUUCAAAUGUCUGCCUUAUCAACUUUCGAUGGUAGGUUAUGCGCCUACCAUGGUCGUAACGGGUAACGGGGAAUCAGGGUUCGAUUCCGGAGAGGGAGCCUGAGAAACGGCUACCACAUCCAAGGAAGGCAGCAGGCGCGCAAAUUACCCACUCCCGGCACGGGGAGGUAGUGACGAAAAAUAACGAUACGGGACUCAUCCGAGGCCCCGUGAUCGGAAUGAGCACACUUUAAAUCCUUUAACGAGGAUCAAUUGGAGGGCAAGUCUGGUGCCAGCAGCCGCGGUAAUUCCAGCUCCAAUAGCGUAUAUUAAAGU
rnacentral:rRNA from 1 species